rnacentral:ncRNA from 1 species
GAACUGAAGAGUUUGAUCCUGGCUCAGAUUGAACGCUGGCGGCAUGCCUAACACAUGCAAGUCGAACGGCAGCGCGGGGAGCUUGCUCCCAGUGGGGGACAACCCGAGGAAACUCGGGCUAAUACCGCAUACGCUCUACGGAGGAAAGCGGGGGAUCUUCGGACCUCGCGCUAUUGGAUGAGCCCGCGUCGGAUUAGCUAGUUGGUGAGGUAAUAGCUCACCAAGGCGACGAUCCGUAACUGGUCUGAGAGGACGAUCAGUCACACCGGAACUGAGACACGGUCCGGACUCCUACGGGAGGCAGCAGUGGGGAAUAUUGGACAAUGGGGGAAACCCUGAUCCAGCAAUGCCGCGUGUGUGAAGAAGGCCUGCGGGUUGUAAAGCACUUUCAGCAGGGAAGAAAAGCGCGGGGCUAAUAUCCCCGUGUCUUGACGUUACCUGCAGAAGAAGCACCGGCUAACUCCGUGCCAGCAGCCGCGGUAAUACGGAGGGUGCGAGCGUUAAUCGGAAUUACUGGGCGUAAAGCGCGCGUAGG